rnacentral:rRNA from 1 species
AGUGAACGCUGGCGGUAGGCCUAACACAUGCAAGUCGAACGGCAGCACAGUAAGAGCUUGCUCUUACGGGUGGCGAGUGGCGGACGGGUGAGGAAUACAUCGGAAUCUACUUUUUCGUGUGGGAUAACGUAGGGAAAGCUAACGCAAAAACGGAAUCCAUCCUGCGGGGAAAGGGAGGGAAAGUUUGGACGUUUGGGGAUGGACUAGCCGAUGUCGGGUUUGUUAGUUGGGGGGGGAAAGGCCCACCCAGGCGACGAUCCGUAGCUUGUCUGAGAGGAUGGUCAGCCACACUGGAACGGAGACACGGUCCAGACUACUACGGGAGGCAGCAGUGGGGAAUAUUGGACAAUGGGCGCAAGCAUGAUCCAGCCAUACCGCGUGGGUGAAGAAGGCCUUCGGGUUGUAAAGCCCUUUUGUUGGGAAAGAAAAGCAGUAGGUUAAUACCACGCUGUUCUGACGGUACCCAAAGAAUAAGCACCGGCUAACUUCGUG